rnacentral:rRNA from 1 species
AGCUAAUCCGACUUAGGCUCAGAUUGAACGCUGGCGGCAGGCUUAACACAUGCAAGUCGAGCGGUAACAGGAGAAGCUUGCUUCUCGCUGACGAGCGGCGGACGGGUGAGUAAUACUUAGGAAUCUACCUAGUAGUGGGGGAUAGCUCGGGGAAACUCGAAUUAAUACCACAUACGACCUACGGGAGAAAGGGGGCAACUUGUUGCUCUCGCUAUUAGAUGAGCCUAAGUCGGAUUAGCU